GAUGAACGCUGGCGGCGUGCCUAAUACAUGCAAGUCGAGCGAACGGACGAGAAGCUUGCUUCUCUGAUGUUAGCGGCGGACGGGUGAGUAACACGUGGAUAACCUACCUAUAAGACUGGGAUAACUUCGGGAAACCGGAGCUAAUACCGGAUGAUAUUUUGAACCGCAUGGUUCAAAAGUGAAAGACGGUCUUGCUGUUACUUAUAGAUGGAUCCGCGCUGCAUUAGCUAGUUGUUAAGGUAACGGCUUACCACGGCAACGAUGCAUAGCCGACCUGAGAGGGUGACCGUCCACCCUGGAAGUGAGACAGGGUCAAGACCCCUACGGGAGGCAGCAGUAGGGAAUCUUCAGAAAUGGGCGAAAGCCUGACGGAGCGACGCCGAGUGAGUGAUGAAGGUCUUCGGAUCGUAAAACUCUGUUCUUAGGGAAGAACAGAUGUGUAAGUAACUGUGCACAUCUUGACGGUACCUAAACAGAAAGCCACGGCUAACUACGUG
rnacentral:rRNA from 1 species